rnacentral:ncRNA from 1 species
CAGAGUAGAAAUGAUGCGUUAAGUGCUGACGGCAAGGAAGUUCCCGUCAGACGAAAGGCUGAAGCUUGCGGCAUCAUUUCACUUCCACUG